CCUACGGGGGGCAGCAGUCGAGAAUCAUUCACAAUGGGGGAAACCCUGAUGGUGCGACGCCGCGUGGGGGAAUGAAGGUCUUCGGAUUGUAAACCCCUGUCAUGUGGGAGCAAAUUAAAAAGAUAGUACCACAAGAGGAAGAGACGGCUAACUCUGUGCCAGCAGGCGCGGUAAUACAGAGGUCUCAAGCGUUGUUCGGAAUCACUGGGCGUAAAGCGUGCGUAGGCUGUUUCGUAAGUCGUGUGUGAAAGGCGCGGGCUCAACCCGCGGACGGCAGAUGAUACUGCGGGACUCGAGUAAGGGAGGGGGAACCGGAAUUCGCGGUGUAGCAGUGAAAUGCGUAGAUAUCGAGAGGAACACUCGUGGCGAAGGCGGGUUCCUGGACAUUAACUGACGCUGAGGCACGAAGGCCAGGGGAGCGAAAGGGAUUAGAUACCCUAGUAGUC
rnacentral:rRNA from 1 species